rnacentral:rRNA from 1 species
UACAGAGGUGGCAAGCGUUGUUCGGAAUUACUGGGCGUAAAGCGCGUGUAGGCGGCUCUUCAAGUCAGGCGUGAAAGCCCCGGGCUCAACUCGGGAACUGCGCUUGAUACUGUCGAGCUAGAGUGUGGAAGGGGCGAUUGGAAUUCCGUGUGUAGCGGUGAAAUGCGUAGAUAUACAGAGGAACACCAGAGGCGAAGGCGGAUCGCUGGGCCAACACUGACGCUGAGACGCGAAAGCUAGGGUAGCAAACGGG